UCCCUCUCAGAAUCACACCUGGAGAGUUUCCGGUACCCUACUAGCCUCGGCUAAGGAAGGGAGAGUCAAGCAGAGGCGUCCAUUCCAUUUCUAGCUUGUGCAGUGGCUAGCGAGUGGAAGACAAUCUGCUACAAGU